rnacentral:lncRNA from 1 species
UGANGACUGGAGGACUGAUCAUUACUGCCGAGUAUCAUCAAGAUUGGAUGAAAAAAUGUUUGCUGGGAUUGCAGGAAACUUGAUGUUCUGGGGAAGCGUGGCAAAUGCUUUCAAAAGAAACAGUUUUUUCCUUGCCUCUUCUUGGGGAUACUUCAAAAGGGAACCAGUCAUAGAGAGGCUCUGAGAACUAAUUCAGUGUGUCAAAUUUCAAGGAGCUGGCAGAAACCGUGUUUCAUGUAGAGUAACAAUGGGGUGUGUAACUAUAGGGGAAAAUGAAGUGAAACUUGAAAAUGCAAAGUGUUCGUGCAAACGAAUGCUUUAACCUAGAAGUACGAAAUUUGUGAAGACAAAUGUGGCUUGAGUACAGAUGAUUCCCGGAAUGUAUCAACAAGAUCCAGUGGAAAAAAAAAUUUGCUGGGAUAUCAGGAAAGUCGGAGUUCUUUUGAAGCUUGGCAAGCCAUUUUAAAUGAAAUUGUUUUUCUCUGCCUCUCCUUAGGACUACUUCAAGAGGAAAAAUAGUAUAGAGAGUGCACUGAGAUCUAAUUUAGUUUGUAAAGUUUCAAGGAGCUAGCAGAAACUGUGUUUUAUUUAGAGUUCCAACUGAAUUUAUUCCUGUAGGGGAAUAGGGAGUGAAAACUAAAAUUCAAAGUGUUCCUGCAAAUGAACACUUUAACCUAGAAGUACGAAAUUUACUGAGCCAAGUGCUGUUGUAGUACAGAUGAUUCCUGGAACAUAUCAACAAGAUCAGGUGAAAAAAAUAUGUGGUGGAAUUUCAGUAAAAUCAGAGUUCUGUGGAAGCUUGGCAAAUGCUUUCAAAGAAAAGUGAUUUUUCCUUGCCUCUGCUUAAGGUUACUGCAAGAGGGAACAAUGUAUACAGAGUUCACUGAAAACUAAUCGAGUGUGUCAAGUUUCAAGCAGCUAGCACAAACCCUGUUUGAUUUAGAGUUCCAACUGGGAGUAUAGCUAUUGGGGAAAACGAAGUGAAACCUAAAAAUUCAAAGUGUUCCUGCAAAUGAAAGCUUCAACCUAGAAGAACUAAAUUUGGGGGGCCAAGUGAGAAUGGAGUACCAAUCUUUACCACCAAGUAUCAUCAAGAUCGGGUGAAAAAAAUACUUG